AUAGCAUGCUUACUUUCUUCAUGCGGUCGUCAUAAGCACGGGGCCUGCCCGUCAGGCAGCCUUGUUCAAAGAAGAACUCGCCACUCAAAGCUUUGCCGUGCAAGUAAGCUCGUGUCUAGUGCAACUGGCUGUUACGAGUGGCAACACUACUUGAGGGCGCUGAUGAAACACCACGCAAAAAAUUGCAUCCAAAAGUAGAGAAAAAUGUGGUCACUUUUAAAGACACUCGUGGCAUGGUAACAUUGGCACCAUGAAAAUAAGCAAGAUUUGGUCGGAGUAUUGGUGGCGUUUAAGUAAAGAACAAGUAAUGUUGAAUAAAAAUCUACAUGGCAGCAGGAUGGUUUAAUCAUGCACUCAUCGUAGACAGCAAGACGUUAAAACUAAUCUAACGGUAGUAAAGCUGUAUUGGAACUUAAAUAGUAUGCAGGAGUGUCUUCGCAUAUACCACUGCCGCAUUUCAAAGGGGAAAUCACAAAUAUCAUUUUCACAUCGUCAUUAUCGGACGUAGUUCUGCGAGUGCCCUUUCUGAAAGUGAGAAGUUGACGUUUCUGAACAUUCCUUUAAUACCAUUUAAAUAAUUGUAAGCUUCAGAAACAGCUAGCGGCCUUCUGCUUUGGCACUUGGUCGCAAAAUAAAUCUAAUUGGUGGCAUACAUGCUACUAGUUGCUUUGUUUAGAGUGUCAUUUUUGCAAUUUUCUGGCUACCUUAUGAUCAAUAACUGAUAGAGACUACUACCUGCCAUGAUAUGUUGAUAAUCGACUGGACGGAGACCUUGUAAUGCUGUAUAAUGUCUCACUUGUCUAUUUCCCAAGCCACGUGUCUUUUAACUAGACACUUUACAGAAGGAAAUGUAUGUAAAAUUGAACUUCAGCAUUGCUGACCCUGAAAACAAUUCCUUGCAAGCGUCCCUGAAACCAUUUUCAAAGCAGGGUAGAUGUAUGGCCAUAUUUGGCUGGUCAUUCUAGAGCAUGCUGGAUGUGUUGCUAACAACAUGCAUGGUGGCGUUCUUAUGAGAUGGCUUUAAUUGGGCAUCUUUGCCUCUGUUGCAGUUAAGCUUGGUUGCUGUCUUACAUGACUGCUGGAGAGCUGCCACAGUGCUUCGACUAGAAGAGCUGGAUGUGCUAGUUCAGCAUUUAGGACACAUAAAAGCAACAUUUCUCAGAAGUCAUUUGAAUGCUUGUAGAGUGAAGCCUCUAUGGACUCGUCAAGCAGUAAUUGCUGAAUGUAUUUGUUGCUAAUGAAAAAGAUGAAAUUGUGCAGGUCACUGUUCACACCACUGUGCAGUCGAUGAAGAGUUUGCUAACAGUGAAACAUUUGGCCUUAUCUUAGCUCGUGAUAAGUGCCCAUAGGGACUCUUAGUGGCUAAGUGGCUCUUAACGACUGACAAGAGCUCAUUUCUACAUUUUGCCUCAUCAUGCUUUCAAUGCUUUCCUCUGAAUUUCUCCCCUUUCUGUUUGUGUCAGUGUUCUCUUUUCGUGUGCUGUACUGGUAUGCACUUCUCAUCAUGAAUAUUCAUUAGUGGGUCUGGUUUUCUGUAUUAUUCCACCGAUGUCAUCCUGGCCCACCUUAUUAAUCUGCUGCUUUCUUCUGGUGACACUAGCUCUGAUGGUAAGCUGUACUAAUGCCACAAAUGCAGUUCCAGUUCAGUGUUCGAUUGUAACAUGCAGCAAAUUUCCACACAAAUUUUCUUGUAAGAAGGGAGCACGUUAGAAAUAGCUAAAUAUGGUUAUCAUUUAUGUUGAGCUCCCAUUCCUGCCUCAAAACCUACCAAGUGCAGGCUUAAAAUUGGUGCUUCUGAGGGGAGGCAAUGUGUCAACACAUUCACGGUUGCCCAGAGCUGCAGCCACUGGGGUUGGGCGUGUGCGUGCUGACCAGUCAAGUUUGAAUUACCUGGUGAGGAUCACUUUCAGGAUAACGAUAACGAAAGUUCUGGCCCAUAGCGAUGUAUGGGCACUGGCCAGGACCUUCAGUUGAAAUCAGAUUAACCCAAUAGUGACUUACCAGAAUCAAAUUAAUGAAGCUCUACUGCGGCACACUAUAAUAUAGGAUCCUUAUAUCCUGACCUCAUUCAUGCAUUAACUUGCCCAAAGUCGGUUAUUACAGCCGCUUUAAAAGUGUUCUGAAUAUACUCAACUUUACCUGUCCUCCCAGAAUGCUGUUGCAAUGCGUUGCAGAAGCAUCUGUGAACGAAAAACGACACCAUGUGUUGUACUAGAGUACACAAUUAACAUCAACGGUCAUAGCAACAAAGGGGCCCUGAACCACCCCUCUGGCUUUGUGAAAUAACAUAGUCCGCGGGUAGCAUACGCUGCUGUGAACAUCUCAGCCAAGUUAUGCUGUCGUAUGUGCUGCGUGGAGCUCGCAUGUGGAGCGCGAAGGCACCUUUCUCUCAAACGCCCUCGUUUCAAAGCCAUGAUCCUCACUCUCUCCUGUCUGCUUUAUUGUGCAAUAAAGCACAUUCCAAUACGCGGCUGCUAUUCGUUGCUGUGGUUGGUUACACCGAGGCCGCCGCAGGGUGCCGCCACGAGUCCACUGGCUAAGCGCACUGCGGCUCUCCGAGGACGUUUGGCUUACGUUUAGUGCGACGUAGGCACCAAAAUCGGAAAUUUGAACUGCGCGCCACGGUGACGUUUCGAAAGCGGAGCGUUGUGGCCCCGCUCCACUCCGCCAUAGCCUUCGCAGUGCAAGGCAUUGAAGAAGGAAGGGGGAGCACAGUGGAGGCUGUGUUUGAUUGCCAUUAACUCUGCUUCUGUUGAAGGUAUUGAAGUACUUUUUGCGGCAAAGUAUUUCUGAAAUACCCCAUUUUCACCUCAAAUGUAUUUCUCCACAUUGAUAAAAAGUGGUUCAGGGCCCCUUUAAAGCGGUCAGAGCAAUAUUUGAUGGAAGUUCAGUUCAGUUGUCACAAACAUUGUUGUUUACAAAGGUUUUCAUGUCAGGAUUGAAAUAAUAUGCAUGCAUACUUUCACUUUAAAAAUUUCUUGUGUUGUUUUAAGAUGCGUUCUGAGUCCCAAGCUAAGUUGAGUAUCCUGUGGUAACAGGCCAGGAAUUGUUAAUUCUACGUGUAACAUUUUUAUGCCCUGAUGACUGCAUUAUGUUUCUAUGAAAUUAUGUAGUCGUAGAGGAUUUGGAAACAGUCGUAAGUAAGGUCUAAUGGGGGGAUUUACUACUGCAAGUUCUCCCAUUUCAGUGCACAUGCUACAUAAACAUCAGGCAACUUGUGAUCUGAGGUAAUGACAUUUUGUCCAUCAAUGUUGUGUAUGAACAUGUCUAAAUGACGUUAAGGUCCUUGGAUCCUUAAGGUCAAAAGCAUUGAUCAAAUGUAGUGUUUGUACUCGACUGGUUAAGUGCACUUCUGCAAGUGAUGCAAGCAUUGCAUUUGCAUGGCUCCCUUCCUGAGCACACUAAUGUUGCAGCACGCUAUUUUUGGCAUUUUAAUUGCUCUUUUUUGUCUGCACUGAUAGGUGCUUGCGCAUUGUUGGCUAACUAUGAAAACUUGUUCCAUAUGCUGAUGUUUUCACUGACCAUUUUCUAGCUGUGCUGCUUCCUAGUUACAUCCUCAGAGUUUCAAGUGGCUCUGUGAGUGUAUGAUUUUUUGUUGCUAUUCCACAUCUGUACUACACUGUGUGUGAGCCUGUGGUAAAUCCCAACGAUCCUGCAACUGCCUCUGGUUGUUCAGGGUUCCUGGUUCUCUUGCAGGGGGCUGACAGCUGGAAGUACGUACUGCAGCUUGCUAGACUGCUGCAGAAACCAUGCACCCAAUGUAGAUGGUCAAGCUCUGUCAAGUACAUGAAGACGAGGGCACUUCUCGACAUGCCUACUGAGCUGUGUGCAGUGGUGUUUAUGUUUUAUGUUUUAGUGUAUUAGAAUAGGAGCCAUGGUUCCAGUGGUACUGAGUGUCCAGAUUCUGCACAUUUGGGCAAUGUUUUAAGUCAUGCAAAUGUUGUGUUGGUGCUGGGUGCAGCAGUUUAACGAAAAUAGUGUCUAAGCUCUUGUGUGCUGAAUGUUAGGUAAAUAAGAGCAUUGUGUACGCAUGACUUUCUGGCUCAGUAGUUUUCUUGUUUCCCCUCUCAUUUGCACAGAGCUAAAACUUCACAUUUCAUGCAGUUUAAUGGCAUGGUUGGACAAUUCGAUACUUGCAUGUUUUGUGCACAAUAAACCAAAAGUAUUUCUUAUCUGCAGCAAUGGCGAACAGCAAAGUUUAGCUGCUAGGAAACAAUACACCAGCUGUCAUUAUUGUCAAGGCAAAACAUGGUGCCUGCCAUGUGCCAUGUUUCAUCAUAACAUUGACAGACAGCAUCAUUAUUGUUUCCAUUGAGAUAUAUUUUUUUUUGUUUUACGCUGCAACUGGAUUGUGUGCAGUCGGCAAGCACAACUGUGGAUGCACAUGCUUAGCAGGGAAGAAGAGACAGAGCGAGAUUAUGCGGCAUGUUCUUUACUCACAGCUCACGCAGUGCAUCUUGGUGACGACCAUCCUUGGCCACCAUGAUAGACUUAACAGACGCUUGCAAGCUAGGAACUACAAAGAAUGCUCACUUGGGCUGGUUGGCACAUGUUGAAGUGAAAAAAAAAAAAAAGAAACAGUAACUACGCAAGGGAUAGACGAAAAGAAGGAAACUGGGACAUGUACGCUGUUGGUAACACUCCUUUCCAAGGAAAUUGCAUUUCUUUCACAUGGAUGAUGGCGCCCAUUUGGAAAUUUCUUAAUUUUUAAUUUAGAUAUAACCUCCGAUAAUUCUUUCACAUCUGCAUCUGUAUACUAACUGUUGAGUAAAAUGUGCCAGUGUGCUGUGAUGGAGAGAAGUUAGGAUUUUGCCUGUUCAGGUAAAAAAGAGAAAAAUUUGGCAGGUAGCUGGAAACAUUAAAAUUUAUGUGAAUUAUUGGAAAUUGACUGUAAGUGUUAGAGCGGACAGGGGCCAUGCUUUUAUGUGCACUGCGCUUGUGAGGUUGGAGAAGAGCCCUCAUCUGUGCACCGAGAAUGAGUGCCCGGACUCUUGUUGCAACCGGCUGCCUAAAGCCAGUGUGUGCUGCCUGCCUGAUUUUUGGCAAAUAUGGUGUGAAUGAAACAGCAAGACUCCCUUGCACUGUGUCCCAAAAGCAAAAUUUAACGCCAGAUUCCUCUUAUUAUUUUUUAAGUGUUGCUUCUCUGGCCACGAGAAAGUUUGAAAAGAAAGCUAGUGUUACUGGGAGAGGAGGAAAAACAUUUCUGACAAUAUUUAUAAUUGAGUGAUGUCUGCGCACACAAGUCUCACUUUUUUAUUGUGUGGUGCCCCUUUGAAUCUGGCUACACAGUGACACCUUCCAGGGUGUAUUUUUGUCUUUCCAUGUGUGUGUUGUCUGCAUGCUCCGAAAAACGUGAAAGAAAAAAUGGGGAAAAAAAAAAUGACAGUUGGUGAUCGAGCAUUUCAAAGAAAUGCAUUUCAAAGAAAACCUUGUUGCAGGCUACUUAACUGUGGUCUUUUGGUGCCUGAGACAGUAACUGUGUUGUGCUAAUAGAACAUAGUACGUAUCAAAUCUCAAGAUUGUGCAUCUGGAUGCAUCUUCCAUCCCUCUGUUGUGUCACACUUGAGCACAGAACUCCUUUCCUUUGGCGUAUUUUACAUGUGCCUUGUCUGUGAGAAUUUGCCUACUUUUGUUUAUUCUAGCUUUCAUGUUAGCAUAUUAUGAGGUCGUUAUCUUUGACGUAACUGUACCUAAAAUUUGAUGUCUUUGUCCUGUUUAGAAUAACUCCACUCUACAUUUCUUGCCUUUGAGGUGUUCUUGUUUACAUGUGUCUUCUGCUGCCUCGGCAUUUGCCCCAGUUUUCCAACUCUCUGCUACAUUUAACUGUGUUGGGGUGUGUGUCAGCACAUUUCCCGACUUUUCUUUCAUACGGUCAACAGCAUGGUAACCAGGUGAACUGAGUUUGUCUUAUUUUGUUUUUUGUGUAUACUAAUGAGUGCAAGUUUUUUGCUUUGCCUUGGUAUAUAAAAAUGUUGUUUUUCAUGUGGUUAUGCGCAUGUUAGCACACAAUCUUUCAAGUUGGUAAAUAACGUGUCACUAUAAUUUAUGUUGAAGACAUGCUCGAACUUAGCCAUUUUAUUUUUAAACAGAUUACCUUUUGAUUGCGUCUGUGAAACUGAUUUGAUUGUGCCAUGUUUGCAGCAGAAAAUGCCAUCAGUGCAAUACUGAUAUUGACCAGUAUUUUAAUGAUGUGGCACCUUCUCUUGUAAGUGUAUUUCUGGGUGCUUGCAAAUUUUACAACUGCAUUGGCUUCACAAGGGACGGCAUGGAUUUUGCAUUGCAGAGGAGGUUUCUCGUAACUGGCACUUUCCUUUUUUUUAUGUGCAUCGGUUUGUCCGUUUACAGGGUAGAAAUUUUCGUUCUCCCGUCAUGCAUAAAGCACACUUACGCAACACGACUGCAUUGAAGGGACCUUGCAUACAGCCCUUUCAGCAAGAAGGAGGCUCAUACCAGUGUCACACGGCCACUUUCGAUCGUGACCUAGCCCGAUCCGGAUUGAAAUUCUCGACCGUGAUUGGCCGUCUCUUGUAGGUUGUGCAGAGGAGUCCAUUGCAACCAAAAUCCCGAACGUGGUCGGUCGCGAUGAAAAGUGCAUCGUGCGACACCUGUACAGCCUUGUCUGUAAUUCUGGCAGCCUCCUCGCCGUUUGCACUUGAGCGUUAGGUGACUUGGAAAAAGGAGUGAAGCAGCCAUAAAAACAAGACACUAGCAGUGUGCCAUGCUAUACUUCAAUUCAUACAUAGUAGGUGACGCUACGAAAGGCAGGGAGAGCUUUUUCGCUUGCCGUAUUUGUGACCAAGAAAUUGUCUGCCACAUAUAUUACGUAUGUGUCAUGUAAUUUGACGUAGAUUUAAGUCUUGUACUUAUAUGUCGCAAAGUAUGACGUAAUUAUUACAAGGAAGGUGUUGCAGACGUGAACAUCGUCGCUACCGAACGAGCAGAGUAGUGACAUGUUUCUGCGACUGGCGGCUGCCGUGAACCACUUGCGCUCGCAACCCGGGCAUAGUACGUCACAUACUGGAAGCACAAAGGUGCAAAAAUAAUACGUCAUUUCGUGUAACCUUAGAUCGACAAGCUAUAGUUGUAAUAUGUUAAAUAGUUAUUUGUAGAAAGCAUUGCAGAUAAAAAGAACUGCGCUAUGGAAACAUGCAGAAAAAGACAUCUAUGCACAGCAUGCCCAGCAUUUUCUGCUAUGUAGACUCAGGAACUCUGCAGUGGCCCACAACGAACGGCUGAGGCUUUUGCCUUUUUCCCACCAAGCCAGGCCAACUCGGACAGCUGGGCAUUCUGAGUGUGCGCACCAGACCUUGGGUUCUCCCAUGCCAUGGGCAGCAGUUUAAUUUAAUUAUGGGGUUUUACGUGCCACAAGCAUGAUUUGAUUAUGAGGCAUGUCGUAGUGGGGGCCUCUGGAUUAAUUUGGACCACCUGAAGUUGUGCACCUAAAUCUAAGUGCGUGGGUGUUUUCUGCAUUUUGCCCCCAUCAAAAUGCGGCCUUCGUGACUGGGAUUUGAUCCCGCGACCUCGUGCUUAGCAGCCCAGGGCAGCAGUUUCCCCAGUCGCCGGUGAGAGGUGCCCCACACUUCUCCCUCAUUGUGGCAAAUUGAUGAGAGACUACAAACAGGGACCCUGGCAGGCUUUUCGUUUUCACCGCAGAAAUUGAGCUGGCAAGAAAGACAGAUUGGCGAACCGCAGUUGGGCAGCAAAACAGAGCCCCGCAGAUUUUUGACUAUCUUCAUCUGCAGGUAAUUGCAAAUAUACAAAUAAAUCUUGCUGUAUAAUACAUAGAAAAUAAAAUUAUCUGUGCUUGAAGCAUGAUAAUUGUCUGUGUUUUUUUUUAUUUAAAAACGUAUGAAGGGGCGUCUCCUACGUCGAGCUAACUUUAAAACACACUUUCUGUUCGGCAUGACAGAGUAGUGUUGUAGGUGUUCUUCGCUUGUAGAACACUGGACCGUAAGUUUCUUGGGGGCCGUAGACUCGUUGCUGCCGACGCGCUUGCAAAAUAGUCUAUAGGCAAGUAGACAACUGCAGGAAAAGUCGUAAACUGCCAAAUCCAGGCUCGCAAAUUUACCCUGAGAACUUGAAAUAAUUACAGAGUCAGUUUCUUUCCUUAGCAUAAGGUACAGAAUUAGCAGCUUGGUAAUUGGCUUUCACAUGACAGUUUUGAGAUAAAGCAUAGUAUGAAAUGGAACAGUGUGUGACUAGCACUACGGAAAAGGCUAUUUUCUCCACAAUGAAACAGCUUUCGUGGAUCUGAGUGGCUAUUUCUUGUGGAAUCUAAUAGCUGACACAGUGAUGGCAUUAGCAUGGUGUCGUGUGACUUGAAGGUGUACUUGUAGCAGACUGGCUAUUUAGUGGUGGCUGCUUUGUGCACAUGUUUUGUAAUAGUGUAACCUUGUUCACUUGUGCCAGUUAGUACAGCAAUUUGUAUAACCAAGUCGUAAGGUAGUAACAGGCAUGUCUGCAAUGCUUUGUUUUGCUCUUCUUUGCUGUAAAGACUAAGGGUACAAAGCCAAGCAUGACUUUCAGUGAUUCAACUCCUCUGUCUUCGGUACUGUUGUCACAUGUAUUCAAACAUACACUCUGUCCUUGCUUGUUUGCUUUUGGCUGUCAACCACGCAGGGAAAUUUGCACUUGCCCAGACCACUGUUUUGAUCGACUUUCUCAGCUCCUGACUUUGCCUACUUCCCUGCCAUUAACACUUUAAUCCCCGAAAUAAUUCUGGAAAAACGUACCAAACUUCCCAAAUUUUUUUAUGCAGUCAUAAUUAUUUCUAUGUCAUUCUGAUUCUGAACAUAUAUACUUGAUUGGUUUCUGGUUAUAAUUAACACACAAAAAAAAGCUGCUCGUGAGGGCAGCUUUCUCUCAAUGCUGAUCGUAAUUUGUCUUUGGCAGUGGGAACAUCAGGUUGAAUGAGUGUGACUUGUCCUUGGCAAUAUUGGUUAAACCUCCCAUGACAGCUCAGGGUUUAAAGGCAAACUGCAAUGAAAGUAUACUUUGGCUAAAUUUAUUAUAAAUGAGUAGUAUAUACCAAUGAAACAAUCCUGGCAAAGCUGCAGAACUAGUAAUUGCAUAGUUUUCUUGUUAUCAGCCUUUACACAGCACCCAAGCUGACGACACUUGCACCUGAUAGUUGUCGCUAUGACUCGAGUCCUAACAUGUUGCCUCUGAGAUUGUUCAGCGCACCGCAGGCGCCUCCUUAUCUCGGAAGUCUUGCCGAGGAGCCGUGCAUUCCGGGUCAUGUGACACUUCCAGGAAGCUGUAAUGGCAGCUCUUUUUAUUCCUUGUACCAAUUUUUUUUUUUUCAAUGUUGGUAUUGUCUCGGUACACAGGCCCAUAUCGAGUGCUGCGUGCCGUGACUCCAGUUACGUAUGAAAUCGCCCCAGUCAGUACCAGUGCCUCGUCUGCCCCGCCUUCAACUGACGUUGUGCAUGUAGCACGCCUAAAACCGUAUUACCCUCAUGUUCCCACUGAUAUUUAGACGCACCGGGACAGUGCUUCUGCUGCCGGGGAUUAUGCUACAUGCAUAUUGCGUGUUUCUUCUGGACGAUGCGCGCGGGCGCCUAGACGAAGAAGACAAACUGCUCUGGGCUCUUGAGCUAUCAGCUGAUCUGGCCAGCGCUGGAGCUAUCUUUUGUAAAUAUACUUGUAAAUAGUCUCCAGUACUUAAUCCUUCGUUCGCCUAACAGUAUAAAGAAUGAAUAUUUUUUCGAGUUUCUUCUGACGUUUUCACUUGUAUUUCAAAGCUCAAAUUUUGCUCGCAAUCUCUUACAUCUACAUUAUCUGAAACUGGGCUUCUUGUGCCAUCUAAAAUUUCAAAAGUGCUUGUUCUUGGGCUGGUUGGUGUUUAGGCUUGCUACACGUACUGUUCUUGGCACAAAGAGCGCGAGACACGGGAACAGAAAGAAGAGACGCACCACCAGAAGCAAAGCACUCCUCUGUGUCUCUGCUGCUUCAGCUCCUUGUGCCAAGAACAACAUGCAUAACAAGUCCAAUAUUUCAUUGCAGUUGUCCUUUAAGGGUGCUAGAGUUUUCUCAUCCUCCACUCUCGUGCUGUUAACCCCGAUCGGGAGACACUUUCGCCAAGCUGUUGCGUGGGGGGGUGUGCGUAGUCAUUGCUCCCAAAUGUGCACGAUGUAAAUGAUGCCCCGUUUCCCUCUCGCAGAGGUGCAGCUUGAGGCCAUUCGGAGUCGCGUGCUGCACUGCCGCUUCUGCAACUACACGGCGCUCUAUCACUCGCUGCUGCUGCGUCACGAGCGCAUCCACACGGGCGACCGUCCCUACCAGUGUCCGAGCUGCCCCAAGCGCUUUGUGCAGAAGUCGCACCUGGAGACUCACCUGCGUCUGCACUCGAGCGAACGGCCCUACCGCUGCAGACACUGCUGCCGCACUUUUGCCACCGUCUCGGCACUAGCCAGCCACGCGCUGGUGCACAGUGUUGCUGCCACCACUUUGCAGGAGGAUGUUGGAGAAGUCACGUUGAGCUGCGAACAGUGCCGCCUUGUGUUCGCUUCUCCAGCUGAACUGUCGGCGCACGCAUGCCCCCUGUACAUUGGUCCCGAGCACUAGCCUCGGAAGCGUCCUCGUGAGAUCAGGUUCACUCGCAUGCAAUGUGUCGAUGCGGUGGGCGCUGCUGCGCUUAUUCUGUACUGAGGUUCUCUGAACUACUGUGGGAAUGUCUCUGCUUACAGAAGGAUGCAUAAGGCUUCAUUCACGCAGCCACCAUGCAUCCUUUCACUAUCUCAGGAAAAAAACAUGCUAAAGGUGCGAUAAAACAACCUACAAACUUGAACUAGCAAGCAGAUGUGUUGCUACAGUGUUGAGCAUCAAAACCAAAUCAGUUUAGCGUUGUUGUUUUGAUGAGCAAGACUUUCUUUUGAAUGAACACCACUUACAUGACGAUGUGAGUAAUUGUGCAUAAGCAACACUUUAAACAAAAAAGGAGUAAUAAGUGAUUUCUGCUGCCAUGACUGGCAGUUGGUGUGUUAAAGCACUCGGGAGAGCACUGGAGUGAUGUGAGCACUCUUAGUGGCAGUUGACAGUGCCUGCGACCUUCUUAAUCAUUUUCUGAUGGGGUGGGGUUCCAUCACCGGCAUGAUGGCAAAAGAAUUCUUCACAGAUGUAUGCCAAUCUGACAACUGAUACACCAAAGACAGCAAAACUGUAUAAGUGAGUCCUCACAUUUUUAAGAAGUAUUUACUUGAAGCCUGUUUGCUAGCUCGCAGCAUUACUCAAAACUGCUGCUGCAUUAGUGUUGUGGUGGCUUGCUGUUCUUUUAGUGAUGGCUCCCACAGGGUGCAUUUCAACACCAUGGCAUCCGUACAAACUCCUAGCCAUCUUUCAACGUAGAACCGGUAUAACAUAAUGUGAGAAACAGAAAUCGCAUUACUGGUUUAAGAAAGAUGUGCACUUAUGUUGUCUAUUCCAAUGAGAUUAAGGCAGGUAACGUUUACAUUAUAAUUAUUAAAUUUAUAGUACAGUAAAAGCUCGAUGAUACGAUCACGGCUAAUACGAAUUUCCAGAUGAUACGAAUUUUUCUGUGGUCCUGGCCGAGCCCCAUUACUUUGCAACGUGCUAGAGAACGGUCGUUACGAAUCUAUUUUCAGCCUCCGUCGGUUGAUACGAAUAAACGCCGCCCAACCGACGGCCGCAAAAGAGAACAGCGCGCAGUCACGCGCUUUCUCUCCUUCUCUUUUGGUGCAGAAGCGCGGCGCCGGUCAGCGCCGACUCCGCGACUGGGCGCGAAGAGUUUGAAGCGGUGGCGCUUUUGGUGCUUUUGUACUUUUCCUCCUUUUCUGCGAGCCGUCAGAUGGAGUGGCUGCUGCGCUUUGGGCCACGUUCUUCGUGUUUGCGCCAUUUUGCCUAGUCGCAGCGAGCUAUGUCUCGCAAGCGGAAAGCACUCUUCUUUAAAGAGAAAUUAGACAUUCUUCGAAAGGUCGAUGAGGAUCCCAAGAGGAAGCGGAUGGAGUUGGCUAAGGAGCUAGGCCUCGCAACGUCAACACUGAGCACAAUUGUUGCACAGCGAGACUAUCAUGAAAAACGUGCUUUCGUUCAACGUCAACGCGAAGCAAGCGAAUUUGAACACGCUUAUUUCGAUCAUACCGCGCACCGACAAUGCUCUUAGCAGCGCGCCAAAUCACGCGACGGCGCCUCCGACCGGCAUUGCUCCGACACCGCCAUAGAGCAAAAGCUCAGGAGAGACUCCUCAAUGCCGCGCGCGAAGGAACGGGGGAAAAAAAAAAGAACCCGCGGCGGAAAUUUCCUUCUCUCUCAAAUUGCAAGGUCGCCGUUUCUGCAUCGCGCCGGAACAAGCGUGUACGUGCCCACUAGAGUGUUCUAGACAACCGUAUUCUAGCACACACUAGUGCCGACGUCUCAGCCACGCGGAUAAAAUGGCAGUGAGCCCUUCUCUAUUUUCUAGUCACAUGUUGACCUUGCACGCUGCUGCAGCAGUGCAGAGGGAAGCAGCGGCGGAGGCACAGUCGGGCCAACGAAACUGCCACGCCCGCAAACGCUCGCUUCCCGAUAACGGCAGAAAACGAAACUUCAGGGGGUGGCUAAAAUAAGCUGGCGCCAGCACGGCGGCGGGCGCGCACGGAGAUGUGCGCACGGAGUCGCAGGUGAGAGAGCUACGAGGAACGAGGAAGUUGAGAGGGAGGGCGAGGGGAGCCACCGUAGCGGCGGAGUUGACCCGGCCAAAUCCGCUUCCCUGCCGCCCUCCUCCCUCACCUUCGACGGUCUCCGCGUGCACCCGUGUGCCGGCGCCACCCGCUCGCUCCCUGAAGCUUCGUUUUCUGUCAUUAUCGGGAAGCGACCGUUAGCCGGCAUGGGCAGUUUCGUGGCCCGCGCUUGCUAUGCGCUUGCGCGGCGAGAUAUUUCAUGACUCGCACCGUUCGUGCAUCGUGCUAUGGUGCACGAAUACUUCAAAAAUACGUCCUUUUAAUUCGAACAAAUUUUCGGGCCCCUUCGAGUUCGAAUUAUCGAGAUUCGACAGUAGUUUUAAUUGUGUUUCGAUGAUACGAAUUUCGGCUAAUACGAAUAUUUUUCGUGACCCCGUGAGAUUCGUAUCAUCGAGCUUUUACUGUAUUUAUACAGAGAUAGAUCAAACUCAAAGGGGAUCACAAUAUAGUUUGAUAUAUCCAUUUAAAGUAUAAAGUAGGCUUACCCGAAGCUUGUCUGAAAACUCUGCCUGUCUCGGACAGUUUUCUGGGAUGGUGAAAAGCAAGGAUUUAUCUGUUUGGUUCCUCGGAGAACCACAUAAAAUGCACUAAAAUUUUCAAGUAUGAACCAACUUGCCCAAAAUCGCAUUCUGCACUAAAAGUUUACUAUUCUCUUUCCCCACGUUUAUCUCGGAAGUCACUUUAGUUGCGGAAUGGCCAUUGAUAAACUGAGCGCAACUCUAACCCUAGAAGCUCUAGUGGCGGGCCACAUAACCGCAGCACACCUUGCUCACAUCGAAGUACUGUGGUAGAAAUAGAUGCAGUGCUGAAGUAGGCCAGCCUGUAUGGACAUGCACCAUGCCACCUUCAGCGCACUUGUACUGCAAAUCACGCAUGAACAUGGGCAACCACGCAUCCAUACAAUGUGCUCUUUAAACGACCAAUUGUUGUACAUUGGCAACGAGUUGACCAGGCAGGCUCUGUUAGAUUAGAAAGUGGCUUUCAGUCUGAAGAACAUCAGAGUUCAUUCCCACUCGCGUGCCGACCUGUGAGCACAAAUCAAGAACGUUCAACGUGGACUGUGGGCCCACAAAUCGCACAGUGAUGAGUCUUGCACGAUGUUGCCACAAUGGUCUUUCCGUGAAGUGCGGGUUUUGUUCAUUUAAAUCCAUACUGCAGUAUGGAUGCAAAAGAUCUGUCCAAGUAGGGGUUGGGGUCAAACUCGUAUUGGCCGCUGACAGAACCCCAAAAACGCCGUUUGCGGAUGACUGCAGCGGUGCACAAAGUCCAGGAGCCACCCUUCUGAUAGAUGGAUGUGCACUCUGCGUGGCACACCGACACCCUCACGUAGAGGCACAAUUCACAGUGCAUCAACAAAAGCCCAGACUAAGCAAAUACAGAGAGAGGACAAAUUAUGCUUCUAGAAAUAUACAACAGAUGUCGGAACUACCUCGGGCCUCACCAACUUCAUGUUAGUGCGCACAUACGACGAGAAAGUGGACAAUGUACGUCAGUGGCACUGAAAGGAUUAAGGGACAUGUACGAUGUUCUAUCACAGUGGCCCCUUUCCACUCUUGAUGUGCUUCACCGCAGUGUUUUCUGUAUGCUUCACUGCAUACCAUUGCUUUAUUGCGGCGAAGCUGACUAAAAAGAACCGGCGAUUAUGCAAUGCAAAUAAGACCCUCGAAGGCCUGAAAAUAAAUGUAGCCCUGUUGUGCCUGGCAGAUUUGCCCCAAUGUGUGUAGUUCCCGGUAGGUUUUGACCGAUGUGAACUUUUUUGGGUGCUUUGCCAACUGCUCUGUACAUGUUUUCUCCGGAUGCUUGUGCAGCGCCUGGCCUGUUGCAAUGUAGCAGAGCCAAUUUCUCUUUGCACCACUAAACUUAUGUGACUGCCACGUUCAAAGGCAACAUGAGAUGCGGGAACAUUACAGAGUGGCAACGUAUCAAAUGGGCACAUGAGAGUCAAUGGAAUUGAGAUUGGAACUGUGCGACGUCGCAGCCGGAAAAUGUAACAGCGAGGAAUGUAUCAAUGGCAGAAGCAUACUCAUUUGGGCUGGUUGGUUCAUGACUUGAGCAGAAACAGGUCAAGAUAAUGCAUGAGAAAGGGACUGACAACAGUGCUCAACGAAGUUCAUUUAUAACAAAUUAUGCAAAGUGAAAUAUCGUUGCAGUUGGCCUUUAAGUGUGUAGCACCAGCACAUUUGGGUACUUGGGUUGAUGACUGAAAGUGGCCAGGGGCCAUAUUUGAUGAUGAAUAAUUUUUUUAUUUUCUUCCCUGGCAUUGUAGUGCUGGUUCAUCCGAGUAAUUAACACAGACUGUAAAAGGUAGAACGGAAGACUUGUCGUUGGAAAAUGUUACCUCAGUUCACUAAGGUUGCACAUUGGGUUUGUUGAUGUGGCAUACUGAAAGCGAUAGGCAUAAUGCCCUCGACACUAGACACAUGAGCGACACAGAACGCGCACAUAGAUGGCGCUAGCUUUCAACGAUGAGCUUAUUCGCGGAAUAAAAGAGUGCAUAUACUCUUCACUAGGUGCAUAAUAGAAAACCAAAGCUUUUAAUUCCUCAGUGUUUCCACAAGCCAUACCACUCUGGAAUUAUCUUUCCGACAGCCUUGUUUCCAUCACUAACCAUGAAACAUUCCGCAAAGAAUUUGCACUCUCACUUCUUGUAAAAGUUGUGUUCAGUAUUGUAUCAAAUUUUUGUAGUCAUUAAUAACGUUCCUGUGUUCCUGUUUAUGUUUUAUGUAUUUUUGUUGUACUUCCUCCUUCAUCACUCAAUGUUUCGAUUGGAAACUGUGGUGUAUUUAUAAAUCAAUAAAAAACAACAUACUCGAAGCAUACUGAUGUCUCUCGUGACAUAUAUGGGACCUAUCGUGGGAUAAACAUUCAUGGUAUGCAAUGAGAUAGAUGGUUUGCUGAUGCAACUGUCAUCAUAGAUGGCUAUGUGUUGUGUUUGGAUGAUUAGCCUGGUCAACUCAUUCAUGCUUUUGCCGAGAAUCCGUCUCAUUUUUGGCAUGGCACAAAUAUUUAUCUUAGGAUAGGUCCCAUAUACAGGUUAAUUAGGCCACCAACAUCAAUAAUUUCCAUCUCAUUCUGUGUCCCCCUGGGCGCAUAACCUUACUGUAGAGGUGGUCUUCACGUACAUAUAAGUGCCUAAUUUAUAAAAAACCUGUCGACUUAACUUUGAUCACCCUGUAUGUUGCGACAGACAUCAGUAUGUUGUGAUCACAUGUUCUAUUACGCACAUAGUGAAGGGUGUGUGCGAGCUUUGAUGCCACAAAUAAACUCGUUAAAGGUUAGUCCCUGUAUGUGUCCGUUCUGUGUUGCUCAUGUGUCCAGUGUUGGGUGCACUAUGCCUAAGGCCCUCAGUAACCCCAAGUUAGCUUUUUCUUUGUGUGCGGAAGGGUGUGAUACAGCAAACUGAUUUCUUGCCAUUUAGCAAAAGCAUGUGCUUGUGUGCGUGUUUGUACACCUGUCUCGUUUUGAGAGAGUCCUAUUGAUGUGUGUUUGUGCUGCAGUGUGUUUAAGUGAAAAACCUGUAGCUAUCUUGAGAGGUUCACAAGGAGAAAUACAGACUCCAGUUGAAAUGGCAGAUUACACUUUCGGAUUUUUGGUGUAUCAGUUUUACCCAUGAGUGGAUUGGUCUGUUAGAAAAGACAAAACAACGGGCCCAUGACUCUUCCUUUAAGUUCUUUGGGCAGUCACUUGCUGUGGCUAUUUAAUUGUUUCAUAAUAGGAGAAAAUUUAAGCUACUUUUGCAGAAUUCCUUCAGGAAUAAAGGCAUUAGUAUGUGCGAGAACAUUAAGAAAUUCGUAUUGUGACGGAUGCCACUGUUUGGACAUGGAGUCCAAUGUCACUUUAACCUUCACUUUCUCGGCUUUUUGCCAUGAGAGAAGUGUGAAGGCCUAGUCCGCCAGUGCAGACUGCAUUUGUGCAUAGCAUUCCUUCAAGGUCACCCCUCCCAUGUGCCUGUAGGCAACUACACCUUCGUGUUUGCAGGCAUGAGUGCCAACUGUUUGUAUCGACACAUUGUGCAUUUCUCAGGACAUAAGGGGAUUUCGGCUGCUAACAGUGUUGGCAUAGUGUUUUAACCUUGUUGGUAAGGUGUGUUAAAGGGGCACUAAAGAGAAAAACAAGUUCAUUGGUUUAUUAGUGAACUACCUUUCCACAAUACCCAGAAAGCCAUUCUUAACCGGGGAGCAGGCUUGGCAGGCAAGAAAAAACUCAAACAGAGCGAGUGGUGAUGACGCUUUCAAGUGCCUGCACCCAUUCGCAGUGGAUGUCAGGUAUUCUAAAGAGCAGCCAAAGACUGAACUUGGCAAGCUUUGAAACUCUUGCUACACCACAGUGGUUCAAUUAUAAGAGAACACUCUGAAACCUGUGAGGUCACAUUGAAGUAUUUGUUACUUGGGUCUUGCAAAAUUUUAAAAAUUAAUGUUAGUCCUUCAUCUGCUCUUCGCGUAAUCAACCUCUCAGAAGGGUGAGAAUUGCUCUUAGAGGAGCAAUUUAUCAAGCUAGACCGAUUUAGUGCAUCUCUGUCAAGGGUGGACUAAAAAUGAGUGGACUAAAUGAUAACUUGAACAAAUGUUUAUUUAAACAGGCAUAAUAUAUAUACACACUCAUACGAAACUUGUUGAGAGCCAUAUGAAAUGGGCCCAUCAUCUUGGCAUGCACAUGACUCCUUUUUCCUUGCGACCAUCUUACCAUCGCUUAUUUAACAUUUUUUCUCGGUAUGUCUCAUCAUUGAAAGGGUUAAAGGGAAGCUCCUAAAUGCAUGGGAACGAAGAAAUCGGAUUUUUUUUGGCAACCACUGCAUCAGUUUUGAUAAGGUUUGUUGCAAUUAAAACAAAAUGUUGAAAUUUAGUGGCUGUAGCGAGUAGAUUUUUCAUUGGGCCUCCUGCUGUUAUAGAAAAAUAAUUGCGAAACUUAAGAAAUCUCAACUUUCAAGUUUACAACUGUAACUCGGUAGUAAAAAACGUAUCACGAUCCUUUAAACUGGAACUAGUAAGACAUAUAAAGUAGACAAAAUUUAUAUGUUAUACACUGCUGUUAAGAUAUAGCACUAAAUUGUGCAGGACUAUCGCAAAAUCCUUUCGAACAUUGUAAUUUUACAUGAACUGAAAAUUCAUAUAUAAAAUUUGUCCAUUCUAGUUGCUUUAACAGAUGAAGUUUACAGAACUGCAAUAUCUGUUUUUGGUGAAGUUAGAUUUGUAAACUUUGUGCUUUGUCUUAUCAAUUUUCAGCAUUUUUUUGUUAGAAAUGUUCAGACCAUAAAUCAAAAUUGUGCUUCCUGCAGUCGCUAGAGUUAAACUUUCUCUCUCAAAUGCAAAAACUUUAUUU